CAGUAGCCGCGGUAACACGAGGGGGGCAAGCGUUGUUCGGAAUUAUUGGGCGUAAAGGGUGCGUAGGCGGUUUGAUAAGUCAUCUGUGAAAUCUCUGGGCUCAACCCAGAGUCUGCAGGCGAAACUGUCGGGCUUGAGUAUGGGAGAGGUGAGUGGAAUUUCCGGUGUAGCGGUGAAAUGCGUAGAUAUCGGAAGGAACACCUGUGGCGAAAGCGGCUCACUGGACCAUAACUGACGCUGAUGCACGAAAGCUAGGGGAGCAAACAGGAUUAGAUACCCCCGUAGUCCCUGUCUCUUAUAC
rnacentral:rRNA from 1 species